rnacentral:rRNA from 1 species
UUUAUGGAGAGUUUGAUCCUGGCUCAGGAUGAACGCUGGCGGCGUGCCUAAUACAUGCAAGUCGAGCGAACGGACGAGAAGCUUGCUUCUCUGAUGUUAGCGGCGGACGGGUGAGUAACACGUGGAUAACCUACCUAUAAGACUGGGAUAACUUCGGGAAACCGGAGCUAAUACCGGAUAAUAUUUUGAACCGCAUGGUUCAAAAGUGAAAGACGGUCUUGCUGUCACUUAUAGAUGGAUCCGCGCUGCAUUAGCUAGUUGGUAAGGUAACGGCUUACCAAGGCAACGAUGCAUAGCCGACCUGAGAGGGUGAUCGGCCACACUGGAACUGAGACACGGUCCAGACUCCUACGGGAGGCAGCAGUAGGGAAUCUUCCGCAAUGGGCGAAAGCCUGACGGAGCAACGCCGCGUGAGUGAUGAAGGUCUUCGGAUCGUAAAACUCUGUUAUUAGGGAAGAACAUAUGUGUAAGUAACUGUGCACAUCUUGACGGUACCUAAUCAGAAAGCCACGGCUAACUACGUGCCAGCAGCCGCGGUAAUACGUAGGUGGCAAGCGUUAUCCGGAAUUAUUGGGCGUAAAGCGCGC